rnacentral:rRNA from 1 species
GGAGGGUGCAAGCGUUAUUCGGAAUCACUGGGCGUAAGGAGCGCGUAGGCGGUUUCUAAAGUCAGAUGUGAAAGCCCGGGGCUCAACCCCGGAAGUGCAUUUGAAACUUAGGGACUUGAGUAUGGGAGAGGGAAGUGGAAUUCCUGGUGUAGCGGUGAAAUGCGUAGAUAUCAGGAGGAACACCGGUGGCGAAGGCGACUUCCUGGACCAAUACUGACGCUGAGGCGCGAAGGCGUGGGGAGCAAACAGGAUUAGAUACCCUGGUAGUCCACGCAGUAAACGUUGAACACUAGGUGUAGCGGGUAUUGACCCCUGCUGUGCCGCAGCUAACGCAUUAAGUGUUCCGCCUGGGGAGUACGGCCGCAAGGCUA